rnacentral:rRNA from 1 species
UACGUAGGGGGCUAGCGUUGUCCGGAAUCAUUGGGCGUAAAGCGCUCGCAGGCGGCCUGAUGCGUCGUGCGUGAAAUCCCUCGGCUCAACUGGGGGUGGUCGUGCGAUACGGUCAGGCUUGAGGCCAGUAGGGGGACGCGGAAUUCCGGGUGUAGUGGUGGAAUGCGUAGAGAUCCGGAGGAACACCAGCGGCGAAGGCGGCGUCCUGGACUGGUACUGACGCUCAGGAGCGAAAGCGUGGGGAGCGAUCCGG